CACAUUUUUGUGAAAUAAUAAUAACAUCUUAGACUUGCAUACCAUCCAACUCUCAACGACUCUGGGUGGUACCUGAAAAUUUUAGAAAGCAAAGCUGACUUUUCUGAAUAUUUGGAGCAGAUCAGUGGUGGGUUGCCACCGGUUCGCCGGUUCUAUAGAACCGGUAGUAAAAUUGGCGGGAGGCUCCGCCCACCAACCCCGACAUCAUCAAAAUGCUUCUGCGCUUGCGUGAGUGAAGCAAGAGCGCGUGCGCGGCCCUGUUGCGAACUGGUAGUAAAGGUCCAUGGAAGAAAACUGAAGAAUCGUGUAUCUCACCUUCUCCAUCUUUGGGCUAAAUUAGAAAACAUUUCUUCCAAAUAUACCUCCAAGCUUGAAAUUUCAUCCUCCCGCCCGAUUUGAUUUGUUUUUCAUUGAGUGCUUCUUCUUGCAAUACGUCUGGCAGUGAAUCAACAUCAACACUGAACAGAUUGCAGACUAAUUUAUGAACGGUGUUGCCAGAGCAGUUUUCUAGAAAAUAGCAGAUGAAUUUGUCUGCAAGGCAGUCCAGGUGAAGCCCAAUUGGGUUUUUCGCAUUCUCUUGCCAAUGGUCAUCAUUUUCAGUGAGUGAUGAAGAAGUGGGAAAAGACAAAUAGUUGGACAUCUCAGUUUGCAUUCCAUAAAUGCUCUGAUCAUAGCAUAGCACA